ensembl:lncRNA
GACAAUUCAUAUUUUAAUGUAUCAGUCUUAGAGACAAAUUUAACAUGGGGGCUGUGCAGAUUAUAACUGGCAAGUGGCAGUUAUGCCUUGAGUGUUGGCCAUCACCACAGGAGAAAAGGAGGCUUCCAGCAUAGAAGCAUAGAAGACAGCCAUAAUGACAGAAGAGGAGCGACAGCAUGAAUAUACAACUUCAUGAAUCAGAAUCAACAGUGGCUUGCAUCAAUAUCAGUGAAAGUUAUUAUCCCUUGUAGCCCAUGGCCAUGACAUACACAAGAAGAGGAGGCGCUGGGGUCCCACAUCCUUUCUAGAGCACGCCAUCAAUGUGCAGAAGACCCCCCUACACCGACCUGGUCUCAUCACUGUAGGGUUCCAGCUCUUCCCAAUAGUGCCAAGCUAGAGAUCAACCCUGAUAUGUAUGCCUUUGAGGGACAUUUAUUACUCCUGCUUUUUUUUCUAGUUAAUUCUUUUAUAAAACACAGAUUUGUAAAGGGUGGCAAGAACAAAGGGAAAGAGACUUCUCUCUAUGGUCAGCAAAAUUGGUGAUGUAGGAUUCGAUCAUUCAGAAGUCUUUAACUCUACCGUGGUCAUUACAACUACUGUGGUCUCAAUUCUUCUCUAUCUUGCAUUACAAAUAAAAUAAACAUCUCUAAGUUCUUCUAUGUCAUUCCUUGAUAAGGUUUUAUUGAUUACUACUUUUCCC